rnacentral:misc_RNA from 1 species
UCCGGUUUAACACCGGCAGUCCCUUCAGAGUGCCCAACUUAAUGAUGGCAACUAAAGGCAAGGGUUGCGCUCGUUGCGGGACUUAACCCAACAUCUUACGACACGAGCUGACGACAGCCAUGCAGCACCUGUCUCCACGCCUCCGAAGAGGAAAGUACAUCUCUGCACUCGUCGUGGGAUGUCAAACCCAGGUAAGGUUCUGCGCGUUGCUUCGAAUUAAACCACAUACUCCACCGCUUGUGCGGGCCCCCGUCAAUUCCUUUGAGUUUUAGCCUUGCGACCGUACUCCCCAGGCGGGAUACUUAAUGCGUGAGCUUCGAUACUCAGAGGGUUAAAUCUCCGAACAUCUAGUAUCCAUAGUUUAGGGCGUGGACUAC